CGCACAUUGCGCCCCUCGGUAUUCCGUGGGGCAUGCCUGUUCGAGCGUCAUUUACACCCUCAAGCUCUGCUUGGUGUUGGGCGUCUGUCCCGCUUCACGCGUGGACUCGCCCCAAAGUCAUUGGCAGCGGUCGUGCCAGCUUCUCGCGCAGCACAUUUGCGUUUCUCGAAGCUUGGUGGAUCAGCAUCCAGUAAGUUACUUCAUGACUUGACCUCGGAUCAGGUAGGGAUACCCGCUGAACUUAA
rnacentral:misc_RNA from 1 species